rnacentral:sRNA from 1 species
UGCGUUCAAGGACAACGCGCUUCAGCAGGACGCUGAUAGGACACCGCAGGACGCGGCUUCACCAGGAUGGUGAGAAGGACAAAGCAGGGAACAGGGAAGAAAAAGUGGGCGGGUUUACCCCGCCCCUUUUUUU